rnacentral:rRNA from 1 species
AUACGGAAGGUCCGGGCGUUAUCCGGAUUUAUUGGGUUUAAAGGGAGCGCAGGCGGAGAUGCAAGCGUGACGUCAAAUUUCGGGGCUCAACCCCGUCUCGCGUCGCGAACUGCGUCCCUUGGUUGCGGGAAGGGGAGGCGGAACUCGUGGUGUAGCGGUGAAAUGCAUAGAUAUCACGAAGAACUCCGAUCGCGAAGGCAGCCUUCCGGCCCGUCAACGACGCUCAUGCUCGAAGGUGCGGGUAUCAAACAGGAUCAGAUACCCUGGUAGUCCGCACAGUAAACGAUGGACACCCGCGGUUUGGCCUGUAUGGCUGAGCCGCCAAGCGAAAGCGUUAAGUGUCCCACCUGGGGAGUACGCCGGCAACGGUGAAACUCAAAGGAAUUGACGGGG